rnacentral:rRNA from 1 species
CCGGCACGGGUGAGUAACACGUAUCCAACCUGCCGUCUACUCUUGGACAGCCUUCUGAAAGGAAGAUUAAUACAAGAUGCAUCAUGAGUCCGCAUGUUCACAUGAUUAAAGGUAUUCCGGUAGACGAUGGGGAUGCGUUCCAUUAGAUAGUAGGCGGGGUAACGGCCCACCUAGUCUUCGAUGGAUAGGGGUUCUGAGAGGAAGGUCCCCCACAUUGGAACUGAGACACGGUCCAA